CACGGAGGGGGCAAGCGUUGUUCGGAAUCAUUGGGCGUAAAGCGUAUGUAGGUGGCCGGAUAAGUCAGACGUGUAAGCCCACGGCUCAACCGUGGAAUUGCGUUUGAAACUAUUCGGCUUGAGUGCAGGAGAGGAAGGCGGAAUUUCCAGUGUAGCGGUGAAAUGCGUUGAUAUUGGGAAGAACACCAGUGGCGAAGGCGGCCUUCUGGCCUGCAACUGACACUGAGAUACGAAAGCCAGGGGAGCGAACGGG
rnacentral:misc_RNA from 1 species